AUGUCGAAGUCAUACUGCAGUGG
rnacentral:piRNA from 1 species